rnacentral:rRNA from 1 species
UCGCUCUUCAACGAGGAAUCCCUAGUAAGCACAAGUCAUUAGCUUGUGCUGAUUACGUCCCUGCCCUUUGUACACACCGCCCGUCGCUACUACCGAUUGAAUGGCUUAGUGAGGCCUUCGGAUCGAGUUUCGGAAGCUGGCAACAGUCUCCGUUUUUUGAGAAGUUGGUCAAACUUGGUCAUUUAGAGGAAGUAAAAGUCGUAACAAGGUUUCCGUAGGUGAACCUGCGGAAGGAUCAUUAAUGAUUUUUUUGGCUUAACCGAGCUCUUUUUUGCGAGGUUUUGCGAAUCUUGUAUUUAAAACAACCCACUCGUAAAAAAACAAAUAUUGUAUAUAUUAUAUAGCAAAAAAAAGAUCACUUUCAACAACGGAUCUCUUGGUUCUCGCAUCGAUGAAGAACGUAGCGAAGUGCGAUAAGUAGUGUGAAUUGCAGAAUUCCGUGAAUCAUCGAAUCUUUGAACGCAAAUUGCACUCUCCGGUAUUCCGGAGAGUAUGCCUGUUUGAGGGUCGGUUAAAUAAAAAAAUCGAUGUGUUGCUUUUUGGUAACAUAUUCGGAAUUGGGUCGUCUUAAAGUCUGUGGCUUUAAGUGACCUAAAAUUUAUCAUUCCAACUCGGUAUGGUUGUUACGUGAUUAGUUGAUUAAUAAUUUUUCGUAAUACUUUUACCGGGUGCCUAUUAAGCGUAACCACUCACGAUUUGGCAUUACGCUUAUGAUACUUUUUCGACUAACGACCUCAAAUCAGGUAAGAGUACCCGCUGAACUUAAGCAUAUCAAUAAGCGGAGGAAAAGAAAAUAACAAUGAUUCCCUUAGUAACUGCGAGUGAAGGGGGACAAGCUCAAAUUUUAAAUCCGUUGGGUCUUUACCCGACCGAGUUGUAAUUUGAAGAAGCGUUUUCUACGUUUUUGAUUAGCCUAAAUCCUUUGGGAUAAGGUAUCACGGAGGGUGAGAAUCCCGUUCGGUAAAUCAGAUUCGUUCUACGAUACGCUUUCAAAGAGUCAAGUUGUUUGGGAUUGCAGCUUAAAAUGGGAGGUAAAUUUCUCCUAAGGCUAAAUAUUGGCGAGAGACCGAUAGCGAACAAGUACCGUGAGGGAAAGAUGAAAAGCACUUUGAAAAGAGAGUUAAAUAGUACGUGAAAUUGUUGAAAGGGAAACGAUUGAAGUCAGUCGUACCGACGGGAAAUCAACCUACCCGAGCGGGAACUCGCGGGGGUGAAGAGAGUCUCAACGCCUCUUUCCUUCGUACCUCUUGCUCUUUGGGCGUACUUUCUCGUAUUGGUAGGUUAACAUCAAUUUCGAUCGUUAUAAAAUGAUUGGAGGAAUGUAGCUUCGAUCUUGCAUUGAAGUGUUAUAGCCUUUGGUAGAUGUAACGAUCGAGGUUGAGGAUUGCAACGAAUACCCUUCGGGGCCAUCCGUCUGAUCUCUGAUGGUUCCCCUGGUUCCGAAAGCUCGCUUACGGACAUCAAGGAUGACUGUUAAAAGGUUAGAACGUGAUUAAAUUCGUUAAGGAUGUUGACGUAAUGGCUUUAAACGACCCGUCUUGAAACACGGAUCAAGGAGUCUAACAUAUAUGCGAGUGUUC